rnacentral:lncRNA from 1 species
GUCCAGUUGAGAGCAUAGCCGAUAGUUUGACUGUAUGACACGCGUCAGCCCACAUCCAUUCGUCAUCUUUACAUCAACGGUAUAUAUUAAUCGAGGACUUUAUAUUUGUUUGUAUAUAUACCACACUGAAACCUCACCCGUUCUAAUUUUUUCUAGACUCUAGUCAUCAAAACAGAAAUCGCAUGUUUCUUCUACGAGCUCUAUCGCUGUCUUGCAUAGCUUUCCUCUCAAUUUUGUUACACUGAAUUUUUCAAUCCGAGGUAAAAUUCUGUUUCCGUAUUCUAUAAAUUUUAGUUUCUAAUUAUAUCUUGUUCUUCAAUUUCAGCUUUUUUUUUUUUUUGGUUUCUUUUCUUUUUCGUUUAGCUGAUCAUUAUGUUUUUGUGGGAAUAUGGAAAAUAAGUGUGAAAACUAUACGGUUUACAGAAGAGUAAUUGAAGCCGUUAUUAUUUUUUGUUUGGGUAUGGUUUUUCUGUGUUGAAGUGGUUAACUUGGUAUGAGAAUUAGCAGAAGAUUUUCAAUUCAUGCUUAUUAAUUAAAAGCGUGUUAGAAAAGGAACCCGUCUCUACGUGAUUUACUGUUCAUUUUUAUUGUAGGAAAACUGGACGGUGUCAGUAAUUUCUACCUUGUAUUGGAGCAUAUGGAAAAGGAUUUAUACGUUACAAAUAUUAGGAAUCAAAUUUUUUAUUGAAAUAAGAAUAUAUUUCAUGGUUAAUGAUCAAUGUUUCUUAAUGAUGGUGGGCCCACGAAAUUUGUUAAUAUUAAUUAGUAGUUAUGAAUCUGCAGUUGAAAUUAAUGUUUGAUUGAAUGAAUUUAUAAAUUAUUCAUAAAUUUGUUUGCCAAAUGGAGGCUGAUUAGUUGUGCAUAAUCCAAACUCAAAUUUGAUGUUUCUUGUGGCAUUAUGCUAAGCUUAGAGAAUUUACAUUACGAGUAUUUGUUGGUUAAAGUGAAAAUAUGAUAUGGAACAUUUAGUAGAUUAAGAGUAUGUUGAAGUAACUUUUAAGCUUUGCCAAACAUGCUAUCUAUCCUUGUUAAAGUAUUAUGUUACAUUGUUGCUAUACACAUAUUAAAUAUUACUAAUUAAUACCGAUAAUGAACAAAAGACAUUGAGGUUGAUUGAUUUUUUCGUCUUUUCAGGAGACAUGGCGUCUGCUCAUGUAGUGUACAAGGGUCCAAGUAUUCUGAAGGAGAUCCUUAUUGGGAUAAGUCUGGGCAUCACGGCUGGAGGCCUUUGGAAAAUGCACCACUGGAACAAUCGGAGAAGAACCAAGGAAUUCUACGACCUGCUCGAGAAAGGUGAAAUUAGUGUCGUUGUGGAAGAUGAGUAAUCUUCAUUUGUUGUGAAUCUUUGGUUAUAUUGGUGUAAAUGCGCAUGGAUUAUCUGCAGUCUAGGCAUCUUUGUUGGUAGAAACUCGAACAUAGGAUCUUUCAGUGGAUGGUUAACGCAUACUUUAGGAGGAUCUAAAUCAUGAAAUGAAAUGUCUGUUCAAAUAAUACUCUUUCACUAGUCUCAUGUAUCAAUGAAUGACUUUUUGUAUAUUAUGUGCGAAGUUAUGCUGUGUUCGGAAUUAUGCACUUCAUAGUUUCAAUUCUAUGCAUAAAUGAGCACUCGACGUUUGUUUUCUUAACCUUCAAUUUCUGUGGCGUGUGGAUCUUCAAUUUUUUUCGAUUUUGAACUUUGAACUUGGAUUUUGUAUUUUGUUUGAGCAUCUCUAAUUUUGUACGAAU